rnacentral:tmRNA from 1 species
GGGCAUGCUAGGCCUCGAUGGAAUGUUGUUUACCUAAUGUGCGCGCCGUCCGCUGGGCUAGCGGACGUAAAUCUAUGAGCCCAAGAAGUUUACGUGCAAACUUUUCUCAGCGCGUGAAGGCGGCAUUCGCUUCGGUGUUUGCUCCUUCGUUCGCGCCCGCUAUCGCCUAAAUCCGAUAGCCACCGCCACCCGCGAGCCGCUGCGCUGGCUGGCGGUGCAAGACCAGACGGCUUGAGGGCGAAAGUUUUGAGACGCUUUUGCUCUGACCUGCACUGUCUCACGCUGACGUGAAGGCUCUGCUGUUCUGCAGCUUCGCGUAGGCGUACCAAUCAGAGCGGCUACGCGCGUAGAGCAUUGGUUAGACACGGUCCACACGUGGGUUCAAUUCCCACCAUGUCCACCA